AGAUUGAACGCUGGCGGCAUGCCUAACACAUGCAAGUCGAACGGGAGUAGCAAUACUCUAGUGGCGGACGGGUGAGGAAUACGUAGGAAUUUGCCCUUAAGUGGGGGAUAACCCGGGGAAACCCGGAUUAAUACCGCAUGACCUCGAAAGAGCAAAGUGGGGGAUCGCAAGACCUCACGCUUUUGGAGAAGCCUACGUCGGAUUAGCUAGUUGGUGAGGUAAUGGCUCACCAAGGCGACGAUCCGUAACUGGUCUGAGAGGAUGAUCAGUCACACCGGAACUGAGACACGGUCCGGACUCCUACGGGAGGCAGCAGUGGGGAAUAUUGGACAAUGGGCGCAAGCCUGAUCCAGCAAUGCCGCGUGUGUGAAGAAGGCCUUCGGUUGUAAAGCAUUUAAGUUGGGAAGAAAAAACUAGACUCUAACACAGUGAUCGUUGACGGUACCGACAAGAAUAAGACACCGGCAACUCUGUGCCAGCAGCCGC
rnacentral:rRNA from 1 species